rnacentral:rRNA from 1 species
GAUGAACGCUGACAGAAUGCUUAACACAUGCAAGUCAACUUGAAUUUGGGUUUUUAACUUAGGUUUGGGUGGCGGACGGGUGAGUAACGCGUAAAGAACUUGCCUCACAGCUAGGGACAACAUUUGGAAACGAAUGCUAAUACCUAAUAUUAUGAUAAUAGGGCAUCCUAUAAUUAUGAAAGCUAUAAGCGCUGUGAGAGAGCUUUGCGUCCCAUUAGCUAGUUGGAGAGGUAACGGCUCGCCAAGGCGAUGAUGGGUAGCCGGCCUGAGAGGGUGAUCGGCCACAAGGGGACUGAGACACGGCCCUUACUCCUACGGGAGGCAGCAGUGGGGAAUAUUGGACAAUGGACCGAGAGUCUGAUCCAGCAACUCUGUGUGCACGAUGAAGUUUUUCGGAAUGUAAAGUGCUUUCAGUUGGGAAGAAAAAAAUGACGGUACCAACAGAAGAAGUGACGGCUAAAUACGUGCCAGCAGCCGCGGUAAUACGUAUGUCACGAGCGUUAUCCGGAUUUAUUGGGGCGUAAAGCGCGUCUAGGUGGUUAUAUAAGUCUGAUGUGAAAAUGCAGGGCUCAACUCUGUAUUGCGUUGGAAACUGUAUAACUAGAGUACUGGAGAGGUAAGCGGAACUACAAAUGUAGAGGUGAAAUUCGUAGAUAUUUGUAGGAUGCCGAUGGGGAAGCCAGCUUACUGGACAGAUACUGACGCUGAAGCGCGAAAGCGUGGGUAGCAAACAGG